GUUCCUCGCGGCCUUGCAGGUGCUCAGGCCGGGAGCAGGCCUGUGCUGUCAUCGAGGGGCGCCCCUAGGUGCGGUGGGACUAACUCCACCUCCGCCGGGGUCGAGGGUCAAGGGUGGGGGCUAGGGCCAACCCACUGAGAAGCAGCACAAGGACGCUGCAGUGAAGGGGAAAAGGGAGUCGGCCGCGCGGGAUCCCAAGCUAACGCCAGAAUCCCAGAUACCACAAACCACUGGCUCUAGCUGCUUCAGUGACCAGACAGACCCUCGUCCGCCGCUGCCUCAGUGCUCUUCGUCGUGUUCUUCAUCUACCCCACGUCAGUCCCCUGAACUUGGUGCUUCUGAGGCAGAGGUCCCUGACAGGGUUCAGGGUCUCCACAAACUCUGACAUUUUAUGAAAAAGUAUGUGUGUGAUGUGCAUGCAAAAUGUGUUUGGUGACAGCUCCUAAAAAGCUGAAGAACUUCUGACCUCUUUUGACAAUCUGAAAGAGAUACAAGUGGUAGUGGAAAAUCACUGCAUGACAGCCUGGGGGUGGGGCAGUGACUUGGGCCAUCAGGAAGAAAUGAGAGCUGAGGAGUGAGGACACGGAGAAGAGGGAGGAUGAAGACAGUGCCUCCUCCCAUUCUGAACACACACACACACACACACACACACACACACGCACACAGGCAUGCACACGCACGCCAGCAUCAGAAGCAGCCAGGCGAGCCCGAGCUCCUCCAUUCUUAGCUACCUUCCUGGGCACAGGUGUCAAUGGGGAAGGACCCAGUGGAGGCUGGCGCCAGGAAGCCCUAGAGAGCAGCCCUUCAGAGCCCUAGGACCUCCCCUGCCUCUUGGGCAUCUCACUCCAACCAGGACUGAGGCUGGAGGGCAGUGAGGGCACCGUUUCCCCCACCCAGAGCGGCCUCUGUCCACUCAGCCAGGCAGAGGCCGUGGCCCAUGUGUCCUCUGUCCAUCCUGCCCCAUGGACAUCCCUGCACCUACCGAUCUUCUAGGUGCUACUGACCAUCUCAUGCUCUGUCACACCACAGUAAUAACCCGGGGCGAGAAGAGCGUGGGGACUGUCUUGGCCCCAGUGUUCCUGGGCCCUUCCCUGGCAACGAUGCACGUCCCUGGUGGCUGAUGUCUUGGCUCCUCCCACCACAGAUGGAUCCACAGCCACAGCGCCAUCACCCGGAACGUGGACAUCGCACCUGCCUGCCUUCCCCUCCUAUGCGGGGGAGAAACGGUUUUGGGGAAAGGCACUGGCCUGAUGUGCGGACACCAGCCAGGGCAUCUGGGUGAGGACAGAGGUUCCCUCUCCCUUCUUAGCCGGACUAGGCUUCUCGGGCACAGGUGUCAGGCGCAGGCCUGCUCCUGGAUGGGGCGCGGGGCCUCUCCUGCAACUCCCCUUAUUCCUCCCCAGAACUAACAGCGGGCUUCACUUCCGCUCAUCCGGAAGUCCUCUUUCUGGUUCCCCUCUGUCGCUCUCUCUUUUCUGAGGUAUGUGGGUGCCCCGUCCUUUCCCCAUCUCAGCCCCUCUCCCAGGCGCCUCCUCAGUCUGCACCCCAAGUCACACUUUAUCCCACACGCUCAUCCUGAAAGGGCACCAGACCGAGAGGCAAGGGCGCGUGCUUGGCAAACGGUUCCUUUCCGAGAAGAAAAACUGCAUUUGACUUCAUGAAGCACUCUGCUCAGAUGGGCACCUCUCGAACCAGGGGCAAUAAACUGGGUGACUGAACAUGCAAAACAUUUCAGUAAGUUUUAGGAACUCAACGAUGGGCUAAGAAGAUGGCAAAGAAAGUUGAGAAUACAGGGAUUCAACUUUCAUUCAAUACUUGGGGAAAAAUAUCCUUCUCAAAACGAAGAAAUUAUGUACCAAACAGAUGCGCAAUAUGCCUACUUGAAACUUAAGAUUUAAAAAAAAUUAUUUAUAAGGAGAAGGGCAUGAAAAUUUAAUUUAAUGUUCACCUUAGGUAAUUUUGUGUCUUAUUGUUCAUAGCAAUUACCAUAAAUCUGCAUAUCAAUAAGCAUGAACAGAUGUCAGUUGUUACAAGUGCUUGCCAAUCAGGUCUGUUAAAAAGUGACAGAUGGGUGGUUAUAGAACGUUCUCAUAAGGCCUGCAGUGUGGACUGCUGGAGACUCAGCUUGGGGAGGAACCAAGUUCUGCGUGAGUCUUUGUGGAUGUACCAAGCACACUUCACCACUCCGGGAGCGCCUCCAAUUCGACAUUCUCAGACCUCCGAUACACUGUUUUUGCAAAUGUCUCCCUCCUCUCCACUCGUGCUAGACACCAAGACAGUCUUCUAAGAGAACAGAUCUCAAGUUGAUAAAUGAAGAGCUGCUUCAUGGUUUUAAGCAAAUAUUUGCACUCCAUAAUGUUAUUGUUACCUUCAAAACUUAGACCAGAUAUUCUGGAAGGGAAUUACUACUUGCUUUACUCAGAAUCAGAAUUGAAACGAAGCAGUUUCCUCCCGUUCAUCAAAAGACACUUCCGCCGCAGCUUCAGAACCUCUGGAACUGGUUUAGUAACAAUUCUUUAUCCUAGAAAAAAAUCCCCCCUAAAAAGAAAAACUCACUCAUGAUAAACUUGAGAUGUUUUCCAGGAUGAAGGGAGGCAGCUUUCCUGUUACCACCUCUGAAGUGCUUCCUAACAGUGUGGGGGCCGUGAAACACACCUCAAGGGGCUGAGACACAGAGCACGGUUUGCCAGCCUGGGUUUGCAUCAGUGAGCCGGACCUGAAGCUUGGUCCUGCCACCUACUAGCUUAGUGCCUUUGGACAAGUCUGCUCAUCUCUCUAAGCCUCAGUUGCCCGGCCAUGCGGUGGGCUAACUUAGAGUCCCUACUUCAUCAGGUUGUUGUGAUAUUUGGGAAUUCUAUACCCUAAUCCUUGUUAGGUCAUUGACUAGUGCUGUGGUCUCACAUUACUCACUGAACCUUUUCAUCUUCCCUUUUUCCAACCGUAAUGUAGUAACAAAGUGGUAGUCACGUCCUUAGCUUGCUAUGAGGACAGCUGCAUGAUUUUUAAAAGGAGCUUUGUUAAAAACAAAAUGGUAAAACACUACCCCUUGUUUUUCUGUUAUAUGAUCUUCUGAGUUGAUAGUUGUUAUAAACAAAUUAAAGGCAGAGAAGACACUUUCUCUUACUCCCUUUCUCUUUCAAGAAAAAUCCCAGCUCUCAGCCCAAACUCAGACCCCAAGUUUCUGAGAUUUCUGAAAUUCACUGAACAAAUAUCACCGCUGAGAGAGAAAUGGACAAGUUUUCAUUAGAAGUUUUAAGAGGGAAAAUAAAAACCAACCAACUCCAAGGAGGCACAAAAAGUAGAUAUAAAAGCCGUCAAUUUAUAAAGGUAUGUUCCUAAUCCAUUUUCUGCUUCUAAAUUCCAUAUUUCAUAAAGGUUCUCUUGGAUAAAAACCAUAAAGCACACUUGAAGUUAUUUUUAGUUUGAAGGGAAAAUGGUAAGAUUUUUUGGGAAAGGAAGUAUAGCUGACGUCUCAUUCAAUUUUAUACAUGCAACUACUUAGGAUCCAGUCGUCUAAAAUUUCUCUUUCUUUUUUUUGGUUUUAUUUUCUCCUGAAGCUGAAAAUGUUUCACCCAUAUAAAUGUGGCAUUUUAGACUCUAGCUAUAAACCUCAUCGACCAGUAUGUUUUCAGAGUUGUUCACAACAAAAUAUUAUUCGUUUCUAAAAUCA
rnacentral:lncRNA from 10 species